ACUCUCUUUACAAUUCUUUCAUCGAUCACCCUGAGUUCAAGAAGUUUGAUCUUCCUGCUUUCACCAAUCAUCAACAAGUUCGAUUCAUCAAUCCUUGUCAAGACUCAGUUGUUGCUGCAUCAAUUUUUACAAUCGAGAUUCUGAUUCUUGUCAUCCUGCAGUGUGAAGAUUUUUGAUUUUCUCUUCAUUAUUUUGAUCUUCUUCAAAUAUUAAAAAAAAAGAGGUUUCUUUGUUGAAUAAUAUUGAAAUAUCUACACAAAAAAAGAUAUUGUGUUCUUUUCUAUUGCUGUGAAGAAUCUUUUUAUUUCUGCUUCAACACUUUGUUCUUCUCCAAGUUUGAAAAAGAUAAAAAAAAAAGUAAAAAAGUAAAGAGGAGGUCACUCUUUGUCCAACAACAUUGAAAUCUCUUGAAAAAAGGUAAAAAUAUAUUGAUAAUGUUUCAUUUCAUUAUAUUCUUAUAUAUUUGUCUUUUGCUAUAUAUUAAUCUAGACUAUUAAAAUAUUACUUAAAAUAUAUAAUCAUUAUUUUAGAAGUUUCUAAUUGUUUUUUAUUUGAAUAAUUUAAAAUAAGAUUAAAUUUUAAUGCAUGUUUCAAACCUAAUGCUUGCAAUAACGUACCUUUUCUUUUCAUGCGAAGCAGCACUCAACCCAAAUCAAUGAAUUUGUUUGAUACCCAAGAUCCUGUCAAAUUAACAAGACCUUCUUUUGGCUGCUCUUUUUUUUUUUAAAAAAAAAAACCAAUAGUUGCUUUGGUCAUCUACAAAAAAUGUUGUUUUAUUUUUUAAUUACUUCGUGUCUUAUAUUUGUCAGGCAUUUAUUUUGCAUUAAUUUUUUCAUCGAUGCUAGACUUCCUUUAUAUUUUUGCGUUAAACAGGUUUUCUUUGUUUCUGUUUUUUCUGUGUGAAAGAAAGUUUCUUCAUCAAGCAGCAUUAAAAUCCCUCAAAAGAAAAAAAAAAAAAAAGGGUUAGAACACAUUUUGAUAGUGUUUCAUUUUAUCAAUGCCGAUUACCAAAUGGACAUUUGAUCACUUAUCUUUCUGCAUACUUGAUGUAGCAUAUGCUGUAAUGACAGCUUGGAGCGUGUAAUAAUCAUGAAAAAAUGUUUUAUCUGAUUUAAGAAAUAAGAGAUAUAAUUAACUCUUUAAAGUUGUAAUAUUAUGAAAGUUUUCUUAGACUUAUAAUUUACACAAUAAUAUUAUUAGAGGAAUAAGUUGGCAAGAAAUUAGACGAAUAAGUUUGUUUGACUGGCUCAAAUAAAAAGGGUGAGAUGUGUUAAACUCUUUAUAUUAAGUAUGCUUGAUGGUAGUUUACUUCACCAAAAUAAUUUAAGCUAUUUAGUUAGACACACUCUUUUCCUAGUCUAUCUUCUAUUCUCUAGAUGUGAGAUUUUGAUUUCUUUAUCUCUAAUAAGAUGAGAUGUAGUUAUCAAAAAAUUCAAAAUCUUUUGUUGGAAGGAAAAAAAUUGAAAUAAUUCUUUUGGAUCAAAGGUUAGUGUGGCACACAUUAUUUAAGUUACCAUGGAAUUGAUAUCCUUUUAUGCAACAGAAGUAAGCCUCAUAAAAUUAGUCAAGGAAAGGUUUCCCGCAACAUAAAAAGAAAAAGGAAAAGGAAAAGGAAAACAAAAAAAAAAAACAAAAAGAAAGGAGUUUCCUACCAUAGAAUAAAAAUCUAUCGCCAACUUUGUCAAGGUUUAUAAAACAUUAUUUUAACUAUCUUGUCCCUCCUUGAUCUAAGAUAUUUUAAUUUUUUAUUUUCAAAAACAAGUGUUAUUGUAUGUAUAUGUGUGUUUCUCGAUUCUCUUUAAAAAUAUUAGCCUCAUAUAUUAUAUUGAAAGCGCGCCUAUCUUUUUGAAUACUCAACUUGUGUGUGUGUAUUGAUGAGAGGAAUUAAUAUCACCACUUUGAUUUCUUUCUUUCCUUUCUUGCAUUGUUUCUUACUAAACUUUCAAUACUAAUAUUAAAAAAAAAUCAUGAAUUCUACCAUCUUGCCAAACACAUUUUUAGCCCAAAAAUCAGUUUUCAUCAAAUAUGUAAAGAAGCCUUUAAUCAACUUAGUUAAAACAAUGUCUCACUUCCCCUGGGAACCAUAAUGUUUGAAUUUGGCACUAAAAUUUUGCAUCAAUUAUUCUUUCACCAACAAUAAAUUUCGUGUUUUGUAUUUGACAGAUUUUGAGGUGUUGUCUUCUCGUGUAAAAGACUGGUUUAUUUUUCGUCUUCAAUACUUUGUUCUUUUUUAAGUUCGGAAAAAGAAAAAAAAAAGAAAGUGAAAAGAAACAAUAGUGAGAUCUUCAAGAAAAAGAGGUAAAACACACACACACACACACACAUAUCAUAUCAUAUUUCUUUUGUUGUAUGAUGGAAUGCAUAUUAUUGUCACUUUGAAUCUUAUACUCAUGCGUUUCUGAACUAAUUCUACUCUAGUUAAUGCUAAAAUUUUGUGAGCUCUCUUUUUUGGCAGAUUUUGUGUUCUUGUCUUGUAUAAGUAACAUUGAAAUCUCUGCAGGAAAAGGUAAGUGUGAAUAUAAAUGGGGAUAGAAUUAUAGCAGAAUUACUAUAGAGUCCCUUAGAAGUUUUCUAAAUACUGAAAAUUCUCACAAAAUGUAUAAAUAACUGUACGAAGUCCUGAGAUCCUUGGC